rnacentral:rRNA from 1 species
GACGAACGCUGGCGGCGUGCUUAACACAUGCAAGUCGAACGGAAAGGCCCUGCUAUUGUGGGGUGCUCGAGUGGCGAACGGGUGAGUAACACGUGAGUAACCUGCCCUUGACUUUGGGAUAACUUCAGGAAACUGGGGCUAAUACCGGAUAGGAGCUCCUGCUGCAUGGUGGGGGUUGGAAAGUUUCGGCGGUUGGGGAUGGACUCGCGGCUUAUCAGCUUGUUGGUGGGGUAGUGGCUUACCAAGGCUUUGACGGGUAGCCGGCCUGGGAGGGUGACCGGCCACAUUGGGACUGAGAUACGCCCCAGACUCCUACGGGAGGCAGCAGUGGGGAAUAUUGCACAAUGGGCGGAAGCCUGAUGCAGCAACGCCGCGUGCGGGAUGACAGCCUUCGGGUUGUAAACCGCUUUCGCCUGUGACGAAGCGUGAGUGACGGUAAUGGGUAAAGAAGCACCGGCUAACUACGUG